UACGUAGGGGGCAAGCGUUGUCCGGAUUCAUUGGGCGUAAAGGGCGCGUAGGCGGCCUUCUAAGUCGAACGUGAAAUCCCUGGGCUCAACCCAGGAACUGCGUCCGAUACUGGAAGGCUUGAAUCCGGGAGAGGGAUGCGGAAUUCCUGGUGUAGCGGUGAAAUGCGCAGAUAUCAGGAGGAACACCGAUGGCGAAGGCAGGUCUCUGGGCAUUAACUGACGCUGAGGAGCGAAAGCAUGGGGGAGCGAACAGG
rnacentral:rRNA from 1 species